UGUAGAUGGCCAGACACAGUUGUGAAACCUUGGGUCAUCUGCCUUGACGCGCAUGAACUUCAGAGACACUGAAUGCUUCAGCAUCAACCAAGAGGUUGCCUUGAUGUGGAUGAACUUGACUGGCCUACACAGUCCUGACCUCAACCCAACAGAUGCAGGAAUAUAAAGCCAAGUGUUACUUGGACUGUUCAGAACCACGGACCAUUCCCAAUUCAGGUGUACCACUCCUCUCCAGAGUUGGUCUACUUGCCACCAUUCCAUUUCUCUUGGC